rnacentral:rRNA from 1 species
GAUGAACGCUGGCGGCGUGCCUAAUACAUGCAAGUCGAGCGAACAGACGAGGAGCUUGCUCCUUUGACGUUAGCGGCGGACGGGUGAGUAACACGUAGGUAACCUACCUAUAAGACUGGGAUAACUUCGGGAAACCGGAGCUAAUACCGGAUAAUAUUUCGAACCGCAUGGUUCGAUAGUGAAAGAUGGCUUUGCUAUCACUUAUAGAUGGACCUGCGCCGUAUUAGCUAGUUGGUAAGGUAACGGCUUACCAAGGCAACGAUACGUAGCCGACCUGAGAGGGUGAUCGGCCGCACUGGAACUGAGACACGGUCCAGACUCCUACGGGAGGCAGCAGUAGGGAAUCUUCCGCAAUGGGCGAAAGCCUGACGGAGCAACGCCGCGUGAGUGAUGAAGGUCUUCGGAUCGUAAAACUCUGUUAUUAGGGAAGAACAAACGUGUAAGUAACUGUGCACGUCUUGACGGUACCUAAUCAGAAAGCCACGGCUAACUACGUG